GUGUAUACUUUGGCAGCACAUAUUCUGAAACUGUGAUGAUACAGAGAUGAUAAGCAGGCCCCUGGAUAAUGAUGGCACACAAAUUCGUGAAAUCUUCCACAGUUUU
ensembl:snRNA U6 U6 spliceosomal RNA